AGAGAACACAUGAACAGGAAAUAACUGCCAAAUGAGAAACGAAGUGUCACUUGAUCAAUAUCAAAAUCUACCAUCUUGGCAGCUCUGGCAUAUCGGGGAAUGCCAACUUCAGUUCAACUUCAGAAGACACAAUAGCCUUCCUGGAGGGAAUAUACAAGACCCCAGGAUACACAUUGGUCACUGGAUUGAGAUUCUUGAAUGUUAGAAGAUCCAGCAGUUUCACCGAAGAUCUCAAAAGGUGAUGCUGAUUCAUUAGCAAGAUGGCUUAAAUUGUUUCAUCUAUCAGCCCUUCUCACUUCUUAGUUUUUGUUCAAUCUGCUUCUUCUGUCUAGAAUGACUCACUCAGCUUUAUCCAUUCUCCAAACUUCAAUGCAAGCACCAUUUCUUCAAGAACCAUUCCAGACACCCUCUCCCUGCACCAUUGUGAGUAAUCUUAUCUUCCCCUGGAAUGAUGCUUGAUAUCCUAGUGGAUAUGAACUGUGUCUCAGCCAUCUCUACUGCUUUCAUUAUGGCAUAGUCUUCUGAACACGAUACAAACUCAUCCCAUGUUUUUGAAAUGGAUAUAUUUAAGACAAAAAUGUUAAUAGCACCUCCAGGGUGCUGGUUUCCAGGAUGAAUAACUGCCAGUGCAAUAACUAGCAGAGUCAAGUAUAAAUUGCCUACAAGAAAAAAAAACUGAGAAAUAAAGGUUAUAUCAUGCAGAAUAAACUGGAAUGCAAAUAAUCAAAGAUGAAAUAAAAUGUGUUGAAGAAAGUGCAUUGUUUAUUUAACGUGUUUAAUGUUAUAUUAUUUUAGAGAUUGCAUUUUCUGUAUCAGCAGCCAUCCAAAUGACUUCUACCCCCUCCACUUAGCUUAGUCUUUAAGAAGAUGACAAUGACAGAAUUUUCAUUUCCAGCCUACCCACUUUCUGUAUCCGCACAGAAUUAAGUGUAUGGUGAAAUAGUCACCUCCCACACUCACAGUCCUUUUUCCCAGGCGGCUGUGGAACCAGCAAAACAAGAACUUUCUUUAAAGAAAC
rnacentral:lncRNA from 1 species